AUCCGGGUGAUGAGUCCCAAAUAGGACGAAAUGCGCAUCCUGGAU
rfam:Trichobilharzia regenti genome assembly, scaffold: TRE_scaffold0013473